rnacentral:lncRNA from 1 species
AUAAUGUUCAACAAAGUAAGAUGUACAAAUAAGUCAACAUGACCAAAAUUGUCAGAAAACCCCUUUAGGAGUUAUUGUCCUUUAUAGUCAAUAUUGAACAACUUUUCGUCAUUUUUGUAACUUGUAAAAAAAUGUUCUUUUCUAAAACUAUGGGCCAAAUUGAACAAAACUUGGCCACAAUCAUUUCUAGGGUAUCUAUUUUAAAACAGUGUCUAAUGACCCCGCCUACCAACCAAGAUGGCCGACA